GGAUUGUGGCUCAGCGGUAGAGUGCUCACCUAGCACAUGGGAGGCCCUGGGUUCGAUUUUUAGCACCA
rnacentral:tRNA from 1 species